AUGCAGCAGCUUCACCCGCGCCGCACCAUUCCUACCAUAUCCCUCUACGCCGACGACGUAAUUCUCCUGUGCCACCCCUCGCCGGAUGAUAUUGUGGCGGUGAAGGAGAUCUUGCAGCUCUUUGGGCGCGCCUCCGGCCUGCACGUGAACUUCCAGAAGAGCGUUGCGGCCCUCAUCCGCUGCGACAUCGUGGACGCUGCCCAUGCUGUCGCGCACCUGGGAUGCCCCAUCGUCGAAUUCCCGCUCACUUACUUGGGCAUCCCACUCACGCUGCGUCGCCCCACUGCUGCCCAGCUCCAACCCGUCGUCGACAAGGUCGCUGGGAAGCUUCCCUUCUGGAAGGCUUGGCUCAUGAACAAAGCCGGCCGCCUUGCCUUCGUCAAGGCUGUCUUGAGCGCGAUCCCCAUACAUCAGCUCCUUGUGCUUGCGCCGCCAAAGAAGACCAUCAAACUCUUGGAGAAGAUUGAAAGAGGAUUCCUUUGGGCUGGCCGCGCCGAGGCCAAUGGUGGCAAUUGCCACGUCAACUGGCGGCGCGUCUGCCGGCCUAUCCAGCUCGGUGGCCUCGGCGUUCACGACCUCGAGCGCACCGGCCUCGCCCUUCGCAUGCGGUGGCAAUGGCUCAGCCGAGUCGAUGAUAGCAGGGCUUGGAGCGGCCUUGACUUGCAAUUCGCGCCCGAGGAGCGCGCGCUCUUCUUCGCCUCCACUACCAUGUCUAUUGGCAAUGGCCAACACGCCCUGUUCUAG
rnacentral:rRNA from 1 species